rnacentral:rRNA from 1 species
UACGUAGGUGGCAAGCGUUGUCCGGAUUUACUGGGCGUAAAGGGUGCGUAGGUGGAUAUUUAAGUCAGAUGUGAAACCCCUGGGCUCAACUCAGGAACUGCAUUUGAAACUGGAUGUCUAGAGUGCGGGAGAGGUAAGUGGAAUUCCUAGUGUAGCGGUGAAAUGCGUAGAGAUUAGGAAGAACACCAGUGGCGAAGGCGACUUACUGGACCGUAACUGACACUGAGGCACGAAAGCGUGGGUAGCAAACAGG